rnacentral:rRNA from 1 species
CGUAAUUCCAGCUCGAAUAGCGUAUGUUAAAUUUGCUGCGGUUAAAAAGCUCGUAGUUGGGAGUCAGGAGAUGAACUGUGCGCUGUCAUGUCACAAAAUGACGUGUAUAGCAUUGCACCAGAUUCACUUCUUUAACAUCGCUGCUCCUGCGUCGUCAAAGACCCAAUUAAGUUUGGGAGGCGCAUUUAAAAGGGAAGGCGAGUAACUACUUUGAGAAAAUUAGCGUGCUUAACGCAAGCGUCUUGCUUGAAUACUGUUGCAUGGAAUAAUGAGAUAGGACCUUGGUUCUGUUUCGUUGGUUUCCGGAAGCCGAGGUAAUGAUUGAUAGGGAUAAACGUGGGCAUUCGUAUUGUGGUGUUAGAGGUGAAAUUCGAUGAUCACCGCAAGACGUACAACUGCGAAAGCAUUUGCCAAGAAUGUUUUCAUUAAUCAAGAACGAAAGUUAGAGUUUCGAAGACGAUUAGAUACCGUCCUAGUUCUAACUAUAAACUAUGCCAACUGGGCAUCUGGCGCUUGCAACUUAAAAGCAUCGCCAGGCACCCCGCGGGAAACCAAAGUUAUUGGGUUCCGGGGGGAGUAUGGUUGCAAAAUCGAAACUUAAAGGAAUUGACGGAGGGGCACACCAGAAGUGGAGCCUGCGGCUUAAUUUAC